AAUAACGUGUAAAUAAAUUAUUAUGAGAAAAAAAACUCCAUAUUCUAUAUUCUAGAAUUAUAAAUUCUAAUUAUCUAAAUUGGAUCACGUGAUGUUGUUUACUACUAAAUAAUAAUUUUAUAACUAUUAUUAUACUUUCAUGAUAAACAUUUCAUGAAAAUGAGUUUCAAAUAACAGAAUGUGAAAAAUGGUUAUGUUCAUUACACGUGUAUUAGAUAAAUGUGAACAUAAUUUAAAAUUUUUUUCUACGAUUAUGUAAUUAUUUCAAAAAAUAAUUUAUUUCAUAAAAUAAAUAAACUGAAAAAAUUGGGAAAAUACAAUAAUUGUUCAAGGGAACAAUAAAAU